rnacentral:tRNA from 2 species
GGGCCGUUAGCUCAGUUGGUUAGAGUGCUACCUUGACAUGGUAGAAGUCACUGGUUCGAAUCCAGUACGGCCCACCA